CCUACGGGAGGCAGCAGUGAGGAAUAUUGGUCAAUGGACGAGAGUCUGAACCAGCCAAGUAGCGUGAAGGAUGACUGCCCUAUGGGUUGUAAACUUCUUUUAUAUGGGAAUAAAACGUUCCACGUGUGGGAUUUUGUAUGUACCAUAUGAAUAAGGAUCGGCUAACUCCGUGCCAGCAGCCGCGGUAAUACGGAGGAUCCGAGCGUUAUCCGGAUUUAUUGGGUUUAAAGGGAGCGUAGGUGGAUUGUUAAGUCAGUUGUGAAAGUUUGCGGCUCAACCGUAAAAUUGCAGUUGAAACGGGCAGUCUUGAGUACAGUAGAGGUGGGCGGAAGUCGUGGUGUAGCGGUGAAAUGCUUAGAUAUCACGAAGAACUCCGAUUGCGAAGGCAGUUCACUGGACUGCAACUGACACUGAGGCUCGAAAGUGUGGGUAUCAAACAGGAUUAGAUACCCCGGUAGUC
rnacentral:rRNA from 1 species